AAUUCUCAAACCUUCAUUGGUUUUUUCCUUUGUAAGGCUUUGGAUGUGGGGGUUGCUGGAAUCUAACGAAUUCGGCUCUCCUUAAAUGCAUUAGUGGUUACUGUUCUCCACUUCGAUGUGAUAAUUAUCUACAUCUUAUGAGUGGAGAUGUUAAGUGUAGCUGCUUUCUAACCGUCUGAGUUAAUCGGACAAUUUGAACCAU
rnacentral:misc_RNA from 1 species